rnacentral:rRNA from 1 species
UACGUAGGGUGCAAGCGUUGUCCGGAAUUAUUGGGCGUAAAGAGCUCGUAGGCGGUUUGUUGCGUCGGCUGUGAAAACCCGGGGCUCAACCCCGGGCCUGCAGCCGAUACGGGCAGACUAGAGUUCGGCAGGGGAGACUGGAAUUCCUGGUGUAGCGGUGAAAUGCGCAGAUAUCAGGAGGAACACCGGUGGCGAAGGCGGGUCUCUGGGCCGAUACUGACGCUGAGGAGCGAAAGCAUGGGGAGCGAACAGG